rnacentral:rRNA from 1 species
CUCUCGUUAGAUUGAAGAAGCUUGCUUCUGAUUGAUAACAUUUGAGUGAGUGGCGGACGGGUGAGUAACACGUGGGUAACCUGCCCUAAAGUGGGGGAUAACAUUUGGAAACAGAUGCUAAUACCGCAUAAAACCUAGCACCGCAUGGUGCAAGGUUGAAAGAUGGUUUCGGCUAUCACUUUAGGAUGGACCCGCGGUGCAUUAGUUAGUUGGUGAGGUAAAGGCUCACCAAGACCGUGAUGCAUAGCCGACCUGAGAGGGUAAUCGGCCACACUGGGACUGAGACACGGCCCAGACUCCUACGGGAGGCAGCAGUAGGGAAUCUUCCACAAUGGACGAAAGUCUGAUGGAGCAACGCCGCGUGAGUGAAGAAGGUUUUCGGAUCGUAAAACUCUGUUGUUGGAGAAGAACGUAUUUGAUAGUAACUGAUCAGGUAGUGACGGUAUCCAACCAGAAAGCCACGGCUAACUACGUGCCAGCAGCCGCGGUAAUACGUAGGUGGCAAGCGUUGUCCGGAUUUAUUGGGCGUAAAGCGAGCGCAGGCGGUUUCUUAAGUCUGAUGUGAAAGCCUUCGGCUCAACCGAAGAAGUGCAUCGGAAACUGGGAAACUUGAGUGCAGAAGAGGACAGUGGAACUCCAUGUGUAGCGGUGAAAUGCGUAGAUAUAUGGAAGAACACCAGUGGCGAAGGCGGCUGUCUGGUCUGUAACUGACGCUGAGGCUCGAAAGCAUG